rnacentral:rRNA from 1 species
UUAAGCGACUAAGCGUACACGGUGGAUGCCCUGGCAGUCAGAGGCGAUGAAGGACGUGCUAAUCUGCGAUAAGCGUCGGUAAGGUGAUAUGAACCGUUAUAACCGGCGAUUUCCGAAUGGGGAAACCCAGUGUGAUUCGUCACACUAUCAUUAACUGAAUCCAUAGGUUAAUGAGGCGAACCGGGGGAACUGAAACAUCUAAGUACCCCGAGGAAAAGAAAUCAACCGAGAUUCCCCCAGUAGCGGCGAGCGAACGGGGAGCAGCCCAGAGCCUGAAUCAGUGUGUGUGUUAGUGGAAGCGUCUGGAAAGGCGCGCGAUACAGGGUGACAGCCCCGUACACAAAAAUGCACAUGCUGUGAGCUCGAUGAGUAGGGCGGGACACGUGGUAUCCUGUCUGAAUAUGGGGGGACCAUCCUCCAAGGCUAAAUACUCCUGACUGACCGAUAGUGAACCAGUACCGUGAGGGAAAGGCGAAAAGAACCCCGGCGAGGGGAGUGAAAAAGAACCUGAAACCGUGUACGUACAAGCAGUGGGAGCACAGAGCAAUCUGUGUGACUGCGUACCUUUUGUAUAAUGGGUCAGCGACUUAUAUUCUGUAGCAAGGUUAACCGAAUAGGGGAGCCGAAGGGAAACCGAGUCUUAACUGGGCGUUAAGUUGCAGGGUAUAGACCCGAAACCCGGUGAUCUAGCCAUGGGCAGGUUGAAGGUUGGGUAACACUAACUGGAGGACCGAACCGACUAAUGUUGAAAAAUUAGCGGAUGACUUGUGGCUGGGGGUGAAAGGCCAAUCAAACCGGGAGAUAGCUGGUUCUCCCCGAAAGCUAUUUAGGUAGCGCCUCGUGAAUUCAUCUCCGGGGGUAGAGCACUGUUUCGGCAAGGGGGUCAUCCCGACUUACCAACCCGAUGCAAACUGCGAAUACCGGAGAAUGUUAUCACGGGAGACACACGGCGGGUGCUAACGUCCGUCGUGAAGAGGGAAACAACCCAGACCGCCAGCUAAGGUCCCAAAGUCAUGGUUAAGUGGGAAACGAUGUGGGAAGGCCCAGACAGCCAGGAUGUUGGCUUAGAAGCAGCCAUCAUUUAAAGAAAGCGUAAUAGCUCACUGGUCGAGUCGGCCUGCGCGGAAGAUGUAACGGGGCUAAACCAUGCACCGAAGCUGCGGCAGCGACACUGUGUGUUGUUGGGUAGGGGAGCGUUCUGUAAGCCUGCGAAGGUGUGCUGUGAGGCAUGCUGGAGGUAUCAGAAGUGCGAAUGCUGACAUAAGUAACGAUAAAGCGGGUGAAAAGCCCGCUCGCCGGAAGACCAAGGGUUCCUGUCCAACGUUAAUCGGGGCAGGGUGAGUCGACCCCUAAGGCGAGGCCGAAAGGCGUAGUCGAUGGGAAACAGGUUAAUAUUCCUGUACUUGGUGUUACUGCGAAGGGGGGACGGAGAAGGCUAUGUUGGCCGGGCGACGGUUGUCCCGGUUUAAGCGUGUAGGCUGGUUUUCCAGGCAAAUCCGGAAAAUCAAGGCUGAGGCGUGAUGACGAGGCACUACGGUGCUGAAGCAACAAAUGCCCUGCUUCCAGGAAAAGCCUCUAAGCAUCAGGUAACAUCAAAUCGUACCCCAAACCGACACAGGUGGUCAGGUAGAGAAUACCAAGGCGCUUGAGAGAACUCGGGUGAAGGAACUAGGCAAAAUGGUGCCGUAACUUCGGGAGAAGGCACGCUGAUAUGUAGGUGAAGUCCCUCGCGGAUGGAGCUGAAAUCAGUCGAAGAUACCAGCUGGCUGCAACUGUUUAUUAAAAACACAGCACUGUGCAAACACGAAAGUGGACGUAUACGGUGUGACGCCUGCCCGGUGCCGGAAGGUUAAUUGAUGGGGUCAGCGCAAGCGAAGCUCUUGAUCGAAGCCCCGGUAAACGGCGGCCGUAACUAUAACGGUCCUAAGGUAGCGAAAUUCCUUGUCGGGUAAGUUCCGACCUGCACGAAUGGCGUAAUGAUGGCCAGGCUGUCUCCACCCGAGACUCAGUGAAAUUGAACUCGCUGUGAAGAUGCAGUGUACCCGCGGCAAGACGGAAAGACCCCGUGAACCUUUACUAUAGCUUGACACUGAACAUUGAGCCUUGAUGUGUAGGAUAGGUGGGAGGCUUUGAAGUGUGGACGCCAGUCUGCAUGGAGCCGGCCUUGAAAUACCACCCUUUAAUGUUUGAUGUUCUAACGUUGACCCGUGAUCCGGGUUGCGGACAGUGUCUGGUGGGUAGUUUGACUGGGGCGGUCUCCUCCUAAAGAGUAACGGAGGAGCACGAAGGUUGGCUAAUCCUGGUCGGACAUCAGGAGGUUAGUGCAAUGGCAUAAGCCAGCUUGACUGCGAGCGUGACGGCGCGAGCAGGUGCGAAAGCAGGUCAUAGUGAUCCGGUGGUUCUGAAUGGAAGGGCCAUCGCUCAACGGAUAAAAGGUACUCCGGGGAUAACAGGCUGAUACCGCCCAAGAGUUCAUAUCGACGGCGGUGUUUGGCACCUCGAUGUCGGCUCAUCACAUCCUGGGGCUGAAGUAGGUCCCAAGGGUAUGGCUGUUCGCCAUUUAAAGUGGUACGCGAGCUGGGUUUAGAACGUCGUGAGACAGUUCGGUCCCUAUCUGCCGUGGGCGCUGGAGAACUGAGGGGGGCUGCUCCUAGUACGAGAGGACCGGAGUGGACGCAUCACUGGUGUUCGGGUUGUCAUGCCAAUGGCACUGCCCGGUAGCUAAAUGCGGAAGAGAUAAGUGCUGAAAGCAUCUAAGCACGAAACUUGCCCCGAGAUGAGUUCUCCCUGACUCCUUGAGAGUCCUGAAGGAACGUUGAAGACGACGACGUUGAUAGGCCGGGUGUGUAAGCGCAGCGAUGCGUUGAGCUAACCGGUACUAAUGAACCGUGAGGCUUAACCUU